ACAUACGACCAUAGACUGAGGAGAAUUGGGCAUCCCGUCCGCUCUGCCAUACACAAGCCUCAGAUCGGUAGAUUAGUAGUUGGGUGGGUGACCACCAGCGAAUCCCUGCUGUUGUAUGUU
rnacentral:rRNA from 1 species